rnacentral:rRNA from 1 species
CAACUUUCAGCAGUGGAUGUCUAGGCUCGCACAUCGAUGGAGAACGCUGCGGACUGCGAUACGUAAUGCGAAUUGCAGGAUUCAGUGAGUCAUCGAAAUUUGGAACGCAUAUUGCACUCCCGGGUUAGUCCUGGGAGUAUGCCUGUAUCAGUGUCCGUA